GAUGAACGCUGGCGGCGUGCCUAAUACAUGCAAGUCGAGCGAACGGACGAGAAGCUUGCUUCUCUGAUGUUAGCGGCGGGCGGGUGAGUAACACGUGGAUAACCCACCUAUAAGACUGGGAUCACUUCGGCAAACCGGAGCUACUACCGGAUACUAUUUUGAACCGCAUGGUUCAAAAGUGAAAUACGGUCUUGCUGUCACUUAUACCUGGAUCCGCGCUGCUUUAGCUAGUUGGUAAGGUAACGGCUUACCAAGGCAGCGAUGCAUAGCCGACCUGCGAGGGUGAUAGGCGACUCUGGAGCUGGACCACGGUACAGAGACCGAGGGGAGGCAGCAGUAGCGAAUGGUCGGCAAUGGGCGGAAUCUUGACGGAUCGGCGCCACGUGGGUGAUGCAAGUCUUCGGAUCGGAAGACUCUGUUAUGGGUGAAAAACAUAUGUGCAAGUAACUGAGCACAUCGUGACGGUACCUAGUCAGAAAGCCACGGCUAACUACGUG
rnacentral:rRNA from 1 species